GAUGAACGCUGGCGGCGUGCCUAAUACAUGCAAGUCGAGCGAACAGACGAGGAGCUUGCUCCUCUGACGUUAGCGGCGGACGGGUGAGUCACACGUGGCUAACCUCCCUAUAAGACUGGGCUCACUUAGGGACACCGGAGCUACUACCGGAUAACCUGUUGAACGGCUUGGUUCAUCAGUGAAACACCGUUUUGCUGUCCCUUAUAGAUGGAUCCGCGCCGCAUUAGCUAGUUGGUAAGGUAACGGCUUACCAAGGCAACGAUGGGUAGCCGACCUGAGAGGGUGAUCGGCCACACUGGAACUGAGACACGGUCCAGACUCCUACGGGAGGCAGCAGUAGGGAAUCUUGCGCAAUGGGCGAAAGCCUGACGGAGCAACGCCGCGUGAGUGAAGAAGGUCUUCGGAUUGUAAACCUCUGUUAGUAGGGAAGAACGAAUGUGUAAGUAACGAUGCACGGCUUGACGGUACCUAAUCAGAAAGCCACGGCUAACUACGUG
rnacentral:rRNA from 1 species